rnacentral:rRNA from 1 species
CCUACGGGAGGCAGCAGCAAGGAAUAUUGGGCAAUGGGCGAAAGCCUGACCCAGCGACACCGCGUGGGGGAAGAAGGCCUUCGGGUUGUAAACCCCUUUUCUUGGGGAAGAGUAAUGACGGUACCCUCGGAGUAAGCCUCGGCUAACUACGUGCCAGCAGCCGCGGUAAU